GAGGGCAUAGCUCAAGUGGUAGAGCGCACGCCUAGCAUGCCCUGAGGUCCUGGGCUCAAUCCCCAGUGCCUUCA
rnacentral:tRNA from 1 species